UGGAAGUAAAAGUCGUAACAAGGUUUCCGUAGGUGAACCUGCGGAAGGAUCAUUACUGAGUGAGGGCCCUCUGGGUCCAACCUCCCACCCGUGUUUAUUUACCUUGUUGCUUCGGCGGGCCCGCCUUAACUGGCCGCCGGGGGGCUUACGCCCCCGGGCCCGCGCCCGCCGAAGACACCCUCGAACUCUGUCUGAAGAUUGUAGUCUGAGUGAAAAUAUAAAUUAUUUAAAACUUUCAACAACGGAUCUCUUGGUUCCGGCAUCGAUGAAGAACGCAGCGAAAUGCGAUACGUAAUGUGAAUUGCAAAUUCAGUGAAUCAUCGAGUCUUUGAACGCACAUUGCGCCCCCUGGUAUUCCGGGGGGCAUGCCUGUCCGAGCGUCAUUGCUGCCCUCAAGCACGGCUUGUGUGUUGGGCCCCGUCCUCCGAUUCCGGGGGACGGGCCCGAAAGGCAGCGGCGGCACCGCGUCCGGUCCUCGAGCGUAUGGGGCUUUGUCACCCGCUCUGUAGGCCCGGCCGGCGCUUGCCGAUCAACCCAAAUUUUUAUCCAGGUUGACCUCGGAUCAGUAGGAUACCCGCUGAACUUAAGCAUAUCA
rnacentral:rRNA from 1 species